rnacentral:rRNA from 1 species
UAGGGAAUCUUCGGCAAUGGACGAAAGUCUGACCGAGCAACGCCGCGUGAGUGAAGAAGGUUUUCGGAUCGUAAAACUCUGUUGUUAGAGAAGAACGUUGCAUAGAGUGGAAAAUUAUGCAAGUGACGGUAUCUAACCAGAAAGGGACGGCUAACUACGUGCCAGCAGCCGCGGUAAUACGUAGGUCCCGAGCGUUGUCCGGAUUUAUUGGGCGUAAAGCGAGCGCAGGUGGUUUAAUAAGUCUGAUGUAAAAAGGCAGUGGCUCAACCAUUGUGUGCAUUGGAAACUGUUAGACUUGAGUGCAGUAGAGGAGAGUGGAAUUCCAUGUGUAGCGGUGAAAUGCGUAGAUAUAUGGAGGAACACCGGUGGCGAAAAGCGGCUCUCUGGACUGUCACUGACACUGAGGCUCGAAAGCGUGGGUAGCAAACAGGAUUAGAUACCCUGGUAGUCCACGCCGUAAACGAUGAGUGCUAGUUGUUUGGGGCUAUCCAGCCCUAAGUGACGCAGCAAACGCAUUAAGCACUCCGCCUGGGGAGUACGACCGCAAGGUUGAAAC